rnacentral:rRNA from 1 species
CCUACGGGAGGCAGCAGUGAGGAAUAUUGGUCAAUGGCCGGAAGGCUGAACCAGCCAAGCCGCGUGAAGGACGAAGGUGCCAAGCAUUGUAAACUUCUUUUGUCAAGGGACAAAAUCAGGCUCGAGAGCCUGACCGCGGGUACUUGAAGAAAAAGCAUCGGCUAACUCCGUGCCAGCAGCCGCGGUAAUACGGAGGAUGCGAGCGUUAUCCGGAUCUAUUGGGUUUAAGGGGUGCGUAGGCGGACUUUUAAGUCAGCGGUAAAAGCCCGGGGCUCAACCCCGGCGAGCCGUUGAAACUGGGUGUCUUGAGAUGUCGAGAGGUAUGCGGAAUGCGCAGUGUAGCGGUGAAAUGCUUAGAUAUGGCGCAGAACUCCGAUUGCGAAGGCAGCAUACCGGCGGCGAUCUGACGCUGAGGCACGAAAGCGUGGGGAUCGAACAGGAUUAGAUACCCCAGUAGUC